UUUAAAUGGCCGCAGUAUCUUAACUGUGCAAAGGUAGCAUAAUCAUUAGUCUUUUAAUUGAAGGCUGGUAUGAAUGGUUGGACGAGAUAUUAACUGUUUCAUAUAAAUUUAUAAUAGAACUUUAUUUUUUAGUCAAAAAGCUAAAAUUUAUUUAAAAGACGAGAAGACCCUAUAAAUCUUUAUAUUUAUAUUAUUAUGAUUUUGUAGUUUAUUUUUGUUAUAAUAAUUAUUAAUAUUUUAUUGGGGUGAUAUUAAAAUUUAAUGAACUUUUAAUUAGUUAAAUUCAUUAAUUUAUGUUUUAUUGAUCCAUUAUUAAUGAUUAAAAAAUUAAGUUACUUUAGGGAUAACAGCGUAAUUUUUUUAGAGAGUUCAUAUCGAAAAAAAAGAUUGCGACCUCGAUGUUGGAUUAAGAUAUAAUUUUAGGUGUAGCCGCUUAAAUUUUAAGUCUGUUCGACUUUUAAUUUCUUAC
rnacentral:rRNA from 1 species